rnacentral:rRNA from 1 species
CACGUAGGGCGCAAGCGUUGUCCGGAAUUAUUGGGCGUAAAGAGCUCGUAGGCGGUCUGUUGCGUCCGCUGUGAAAACUCGGGGCUUAACCCCGAGCCUGCAGUGGAUACGGGCAGACUAGAGGUAGGUAGGGGAGAAUGGAAUUCCCGGUGUAGUGGUGAUAUGCGUAGAUAUCGGGAGGAACACCUGUGGCGAAGGCGGCUUUCUGGGCCCUACCUGACGCUGAGACGCGAAAGCGUGGGGAGCGAACCGG